CGGACGGGUGAGUAAUGUCUGGGAAACUGCCUGAUGAGGGGGAUAACUACUGGAAACGGUAGCUAAUACCGCAUAACGUCGCAAGACCAAAGAGGGGGACCUUGGGCCUCUUGCCAUCGGAUGUGCCCAGAUGGGAUUAGCUAGUAGGUGGGGUAACGGCUCACCUAGGCGACGAUCCCUAGCUGGUCUGAGAGGAUGACCAGCCACACUGGAACUGAGACACGGUCCAG
rnacentral:rRNA from 1 species